UUAGUAAAAAAUAUAUAAUAUUUUAUAUAAACAAUGGUUCAAUAAAUUUUGACUAAAUUCGAACAAAAGAUAAUCUUGCGGAUCUAUUUUCAAAGGCUCUAGCUAGAGGAGAAGACCUAGAUAAUAUCGAGAAGGAUAGGGAUGGUAGUCGGAUGGAUAUUUUUGAGUAUCCGAUCUGUCUCAUAUCUUAAUGGAAUCCGUUUAGCAUAUCCUAAUAGGGUUUGGGAUAGAUUUGGGAUUUAAAACUAAAACCUGUUCGGGUUUGGGAUGGAUUUGGGAUUCACAUCUCAGGUUCUCACUACCCAUAUCCACA
rnacentral:lncRNA from 1 species